AUAGACUUCCACUAAAACCGAAUAAAAAAUAGAGACCCCAAGGCUGGAAUAACGGAAUUGAUGGAAAUAUCUGAAUAUACUGAAACAGCAUUCUUCGUCUCUACAACAGGAACAAGAUUGUCUACUCAGUGCUUGGUGGUGGUGGUGGCGGCGUCUAGUAGAUACAAUAUAUGACUUGAUUUUAAUGGUUUUCUGUAGCAGAAUAGUUUUCUGUCCUUGGUGUGGGAAAAACUUUGUGAAAUAAAAUCAAAUAAAUCUC